rnacentral:rRNA from 1 species
CCCAAUGAUAUCCCACGAAAGGGCAUCCGAACUGGGGAUUAAAGAUUUANCGGUGACGGAUGGGGAUGCGUCUGAUUAGCUUGUUGGCGGGGUAACGGCCCACCAAAGGGCAACCGAUCAGUAGGGGGUUCUGAGAGGAAGGUCCCCCCACAUUGGAACUGAGACACGGUCCAAACUCCUACGGGAGGCAGCAGUGAGGAAUAUUGGUCAAUGGGCGAGAGCCUGAACCAGCCAAGUAGCGUGCAGGAUGACGGCCCUAUGGGUUGUAAACUGCUUUUAUAAGGGAAUAAAGUGGGUCACGUGUGACUUUUUGCAUGUACCUUAUGAAUAAGGACCGGCUAAUUCCGUG